UACGUAGGGUGCAAGCGUUAAUCGGAAUUACUGGGCGUAAAGCGUGCGCAGGCGGUUUUGUAAGUCAGAUGUGAAAUCCCCGGGCUUAACCUGGGAACUGCGUUUGAAACUACAAGGCUAGAGUGUGGCAGAGGGGGGUGGAAUUCCACGUGUAGCAGUGAAAUGCGUAGAGAUGUGGAGGAACACCAGUGGCGAAGGCGGUUGCCUGGACAACACCUGACACUGAGGCACGAAAGCUAGGGGAGCAAACAGG
rnacentral:rRNA from 1 species